UAAGCGGAGGAAAAGAAACUAACAAGGAUUCCCCUAGUAACGGCGAGUGAAGCGGGAAGAGCUCAAAUUUGAAAUCUGGUAGCCUUCGGUUGCCCGAGUUGUAAUCUAGAGAAAUGUUUUCCGUGCCGGCCCAUGUACAAGUCCCUUGGAACAGGGCGUCAUAGAGGGUGAGAAUCCCGUCCUUGACAUGGACCCCCGGUGCUUUGUGAUACAUUUUCAACGAGUCGAGUUGUUUGGGAAUGCAGCUCAAAAUGGGUGGUGAAUUCCAUCUAAAGCUAAAUAUUGGCGAGAGACCGAUAGCGAACAAGUACCGUGAGGGAAAGAUGAAAAGCACUUUGGAAAGAGAGUUAAACAGUACGUGAAAUUGUUGAAAGGGAAACGAUUGAAGUCAGUCAUGCUCUUUGGUAUUUAUAUCAUUGAGUGGGGUCAACAUCAGUUUUGAUCGAUGGAUAAAGGCACUAGGAAGGUAGCACUCUCGGGUGAACUUAUAGCCUAGCGUCAUAUACAUUGAUUGGGACUGAGGAACGCAGCAUGCCUUUAUGGGCCGGGGAUUCGUCCACGUACAUGCUUAGGAUGUUGACAUAAUGGCUUUAAACGACCCGUCUUGAAACAC
rnacentral:rRNA from 1 species